CUUUAAUAAAAGUGGGUGGAGGACGAAAGGGGGGCGGACGGCCCCAGGCCCCCAGGCCUGCCAAGGAAGGGGGGAGUACUGUUGGUACCAUGGACCGCGGACCGCGGCCCAUGGACCGAACCGGCCCGGCCGGCCUAGACGGACGGGCGGGGCCGACGGCGCGAGCCCACGAGGCCCAACGACAGCAAGUGAAGGCUAUAAAUACCUCCCCUGGUCCAACUGGGGGAGGGGUUGAGAAUUCUGAGAGAGAGA
rnacentral:lncRNA from 1 species